CAAUAGCGUAUAUUAAAGUUGUUGCAGUUAAAAAUCUCGUAGUUGGAUUUCUGGUGGGAGCGAUCGGUCUGGCGCUUAGCGCGAGUACUUGCAUCGUCUCCGGCCAUCCUUGGGGAGAGUCUGUCUGGCAUUAAGUUGUCGGGCAGAGGAUCCUCAUCGUUUACUGUGAAAAAAUUAGAGUGUUCAAAGCAGGCUUAUGCCGUUGAAUAUAUUAGCAUGGAAUAAUAAGAUAGGACUUUGGUACUAUUUUGUUGGUUUGCGCACCAAAGUAAUGAUUAAUAGGGACAGUUGGGGGUAUUCGUAUUCCGUUGUCAGAGGUGAAAUUCUUGGAUUUACGGAAGACGAACUACUGCGAAAGCAUUUACCAAGGAUGUUUUCAUUAA
rnacentral:rRNA from 1 species